UGAGUACGAGACGCUAAGGCGUUGAAGCAGUGUAUGUCAGACUUCCAAGAAAAGCUCGCAAUGUCAUAAACAAAAAUGCCUGUACCAUAACCGACACAGGUGGGUAGGUAGAGUAUACUAAGGGGCGCGAGAUAACUCUCUCUAAGGAACUCGGCAAAAUGACUCCGUAACUUCGGGAGAAGGAGUGCCUUAUUUUUAUAAGGUUGCAAUAACAAGAUCCAAGCAACUGUUUACCAAAAACACAGGUCUCCGCUAAGUCGUAAGACGAUGUAUGGGGGCUGACGCCUGCCCAGUGCCAGAAGGUUAAAGAAGUUGGUUAGUUUCGGCGAAGCUGAUGACUGAAGCCCUGGUGAACGGCGGCCGUAACGAUAACGGUCCUAAGGUAGCGAAAUUCCUUGUCGGGUAAGUUCCGACCCGCACGAAAGGCGUAAUGAUUUGGAUACUGUCUCGGAGAGGGGCUCGGUGAAAUAGACUUGUCUGUGAAGAUGCGGACUACCUGCACCUAGACAGAAAGACCCUGUGAAGCUUUACUGUAACUUGAGAUUGAAAUUGGACUUUAUUUGCGCAGUAUAGGUGGGAGACGUUGAGAAUAUUCUUGCGGGAAUAUUGGAGUCAUCAGUGAGAUACCACUCUUGUAAUGUUAGAUUUCUAACUUUGUAUCAUUAUCUGGUCAAAGGACAGUUUCAGGCGGGCAGUUUGACUGGGGCGGUCGCCUCCCAAACGGUAACGGAGGCGCACAAAGGUUUCCUCUGAACGUGUAGAAAUCGUAUCUAGAGUGUAAAGGCAUAAGGAAGCUUGACUGUGAGACCUACAAGUCGAGCAGGGACGAAAGUCGGUCUUAGUGAUCUGACGGUGCUGAGUGGAAAGGCCGUCACUCAACGGAUAAAAGUUACUCUAGGAUAACAGGCUGAUCUCCCCCAAGAGUUCACAUCGACGGGGAGGUUUGGCACCUCGAUGUCGGCUCAUCGCAUCCUGGGGCGGUAGUACGUCCCAAGGGUUGGGCUGUUCGCCCAUGAAAGCGGUACGCGAGCUGGGUUCAGAACGUCGUGAGACAGUUCGGUCCAUAUCCGGUGUAGGCGUUAGAAUAUUGAGAGGAGCCUUCUUUAGUACGAGAGGACCGAGAAGGACAUACCUCUGGUGUACCAGUUAUCGUGCCAACGGUAAACGCUGGGUAGCUAUGUAUGGAGUGGAUAACCGCUGAAAGCAUCUAAGUGGGAAGCCCACCUCAAGAUAAGUA
rnacentral:rRNA from 1 species